rnacentral:rRNA from 1 species
UGGCGCACUGCUCAGUAACACGUAGCUAACCUAACCUCAAGACGGAAAUAACCCCGGGAAACUGGGGUCAAUGUCCGAUAGAUGUGAAUUCCUGGAAUGGUGUCACAUCCAAACGUCAACACACCAUGUUGUGCGAACGCUUGAGGAUGGGGCUGCGGCCGAUCAGGCUGUUGGUGGGGUAAUGGCCCACCAAACCUUUGACCGGUAUGGGCCAUGAGAGUGGUAGCCCAGAGAUGGACACUGAGACAAGGGUCCAGGCCCUACGGGGCGCAGCCGGUACGAAACCUCCACAAUGCACGCAAGUGCGAUGGGGUUAUCUCGAGUGCUAUCUGAAAAAGGUAGCUUUUCCAUGGUCUAAAUAGCCGUGGGAAUAAGGGGGGGGCAAGACUGGUGUCAGCCGCCGCGGUAACACCAGCCCCCCGAGUGGUAGGGAUGUUUAUUUGGCCUAAAGCGUCCGUAGCCGGCUAAGUAAAUUUCUCGUUAAAUCCAACGUCCUAAGCGUUGGGCUGCGAGAAAGACUGCUUAGCUAGAGGGUGGGAGAGGUCAGCGGUAUUCCUGGGGUAGGGGCGAAAUCCAUUGAACCCAGGAGGACCACCAGUGGCGAAGGCUGCUGACUAGAACACGCCUGACGGUGAGGGACGAAAGCUGGGGUAGCGAAUCGGAUUAGAUACCCGAGUAGUCCCAGCCGUAAACGAUGCAGACUAGGUGUUGGGUUGGCCACGCGCCGACUCAGUGCCACAGGGAAGCCAUUAAGUCUGCCGCCUGGGAAGUACGGCCGCAAGGCUGAAACUUAAAGGAAUUGGCGGGGGAGCACCACCAGGCGUGAAGCCUGCGGUUUAAUUGGAGUCAACGCCGGGAACCUUACCGGGAGCGACAGCAGAGUGAAGGCCAGGCUAAAGGUCUUGCCAGACGAGCUGAGAGGAGGUGCAUGGCCGUCGCCAGUUCGUGCCGUGAGGUGUCCUCUUAAGUGAGGUAACGAACGAGACCCGCGCCGCAUGUUGCUAACAAGUCCUAAAGGGAUGUUGAGCACUCUUGCGGGACCGCAGCCGACAAGGCUGAGGAAGGUGCGGGCAACGGCAGGUCAGUAUGCCCCGAAUCUCCCGGGCCACACGCGGGCUGCAAUGGUAGAGACAGAGGGCUGCAACCCCGAAAGGGGAAGCCAAUCCCUAAACUCUACCUCAGUUGGGAUUGAGGGCUGCAACCC